rnacentral:rRNA from 1 species
GACGAACGCUGGCGGCGUGCUUAACACAUGCAAGUCGAACGGCAAGGCCCUGCUUUUGUGGGGUGCUCGAGUGGCGAACGGGUGAGUAACACGUGAGUAACCUGCCCUUUACUUUGGUAUAACUUCAGGAAACUGGGGCUAAUACCGGAUAGGAGCUCCUGCUGCAUGGUGGGGGUUGGAAAGUUUCGGCGGUUGGGGAUGGACUCGCGGCUUAUCAGCUUGUUGGUGGGGUAGUGGCUUACCAAGGCUUUGACGGGUAGCCGGCCUGAGAGGGUGACCGGCAACAUUGGGACUGAGAGACGGCCCAGACUCCUACGGGAGGCAGCAGUGGGGAAUAUUGCACAAUGGGCGGAAGCCUGAUGCAGCAACGCCGCGUGCGGGAUGACGGCCUUCGGGUUGUAAACCGCUUUCGCCUGUGACGAAGCGUGAGUGACGGUAAUGGGUAAAGAAGCACCGGCUAACUACGUG